rnacentral:tRNA from 1 species
UGGAAUGUAGCUCAGGUGGAAGAGCGGAGAGCGCAUAGCUCUUGACGUCGGUGGUUCAACUCCACCCUUUCCGA